CGCGAAUUCGCCCUUCGGGGUGCACCAGGCGCGAAAACUUUACAAUGCGGGAAACCGUGAUAAGGGGACACCGAGUGCCAGCAUCAUAUGCUGGCUGUCCAGGUGUGUAAAAUACACCUGUCAGCAAGGGCCGGGCAAGACCGGUGCCAGCCGCCGCGGUAACACCGGCGGCCCGAGUGGUGAUCGUGAUUAUUGGGUCUAAAGGGUCCGUAGCCGGUUUGGUCAGUCCUCCGGGAAAUCUGACGGCUCAACCGUUAGGCUUUCGGGGGAUACUGCCAGGCUUGGAACCGGGAGAGGUAAGAGGUACUACAGGGGUAGGAGUGAAAUCUUGUAAUCCCUGUGAGACCACCUGUGGCGAAGGCGUCUUACCAGAACGGGUUCGACGGUGAGGGACGAAAGCUGGGGGCACGAACCGGAUUAGAUACCCGGGUAGUCCCAGCCGUAAACGAUGCUCGCUAGGUGUCAGGCAUGGCGCGACCGUGUCUGGUGCCGCAGGGAAGCCGUGAAGCGAGCCACUUGGGAAGUACGGCCGCAAGGCUGAAACUUAAAGGAAUUGGCGGGGGAGCAC
rnacentral:rRNA from 1 species